rnacentral:rRNA from 1 species
CGCAUGAGUGGCGGACGGGUGAGUAACGCGUGGGCAACCUGCCCUGUACAGGGGGACAACACUUAGAAAUAGGUGCUAAUACCGCAUAACGGGGGGAGCCGCAUGGCACCCCCUGAAAACUCCGGUGGUACAGGAUGGGCCCGCGUCUGAUUAGCUGGUUGGCAGGGUAACGGCCUACCAAGGCGACGAUCAGUAGCCGGCCUGAGAGGGCGGACGGCCACACUGGGACUGAGACACGGCCCAGACUCCUACGGAAGGCAGCAG